rnacentral:rRNA from 1 species
GUAGGUGGCAAGCGUUGUCCGGAAUUAUUGGGCGUAAAGCGCGCGCAGGCGGUUCUUUAAGUCUGAUGUGAAAGCCCACGGGCUCAACCGUGGAGGGUCAUUGGAAACUGGAGAACUUGAGUACAGAAGAGGAAAGCGGAAUUCCACGUGUAGCGGUGAAAUGCGUAGAGAUGUGGAGGAACACCAGUGGCGAAGGCGGCUUUCUGGUCUGUAACUGACGCCGUGGCGCGAAAGCGUGGGGAGCAAACAGGAUUAGAUACCCUGGUAGUCCACGCCGUAAACGAUGAGUGCUAAGUGUUAGGGGGUUUCCGCCCCUUAGUGCUGCAGCUAACGCAUUAAGCACUCCGCCUGGGGAGUACGGCCGCAAAGGCUG